AGACUGUCUGGAGUCUGUCUGAAACUGAUAAAAUUGGAGAGGGAGUUAAGGCUCUAGCUAUGUAAAUUGAUAAGAACUCAUGAAUUCGAAAUGGGAAUUUACAGUCACUCAACAAUGCUAGCGAUUGAAUUAUGACGCAAUGCAAAUCAAUAUUUAGGCUCAUGCUUUGAAAGUUUUUUCAAUGUUUAUCACCAGACAGACAAUUCAUUAUGCACAGGUAUGAUCUUCGGUUCUGAAAAGAAGCCUAUCAGCUGAAGUUUAAGCGUAACGUGGCAUUUCAAUGGAACAAUUAUUUGAAAGGGGGCCCUUAUGACACCUUGAACCCCGUCGAUAACUCCCCCAUGUCUGUAGUGAUGACACUUUUCCAAGGAUGAUGGAUUUUCUGAGACGUCACAAGAAGUUACUGCCAUGGAUCGAGAACCUCAACUACAAAAGUGACCCAAGAGGAGCCUAUGCAUCUUCUGAAGUAGGGAGUGGGGUGUAGUAUGUGGCGAGCUAAAACUUCAUCAGAGUCCCAAUACAGGGAAUCGGCAGACGGCGGAGACGACCAGAUGACAUCAGGCUGCCUGCCUACCUGCUCUUGGACAUGCUGAACUGUCCAACACCUCCGCUGACCAUCUAGUUAUGAGCUUCCAGAUCCUCUCAUGAUGGAGGCUUCAAGAAGCACUCAGACUUGAUCUAGAUGAUCUAGCUACAGUUGUAGCCUAUAUUUAAUGACUUCUUGUUUAUUUUGCUUAACAUAUGCUUUGAGAUUCUGUAUGUAAU